AUAAGUCUUCAGGGCAGGGUGCAAGUCCCUACCGGUGGUAAAGCCCACGAGCCGCAAGGCAGAUUCGGUUAGAUUCCGAAGCCGACAGUAUAGUCUGGAUAAAGCGAAGACAAAC
rnacentral:ncRNA from 2 species